rnacentral:rRNA from 1 species
GCGCACCAGUCGCGAAACUUCACAAUGUGCGAAAGCACGAUGAGGGAAUCCCAAGUGCUUGCACGUAAGUGUAAGCUGUUUCUCUGUCUAAAACGCAGAGAGAGUAAGGGCUGGGUAAGACGGGUGCCAGCCGCCGCGGUAAUACCUGCAGCUCAAGUGGUGACCGUUAUUAUUGGGGCCUAAAACGUCCGUAGCCGGUUUAAUAAAUGCCUGGGUAAAUCGUGUAGCUUAACUAUACGAAUUCCGGGUAGACUGUUAAACUCGAGACCGGGAGAAGUUAGAGGUACUCCUGGGGUAGAGGUGAAAUUCUGUAAUCCUAGGGGGACCACCAGUGGCGAAGGCGUCUAACUAGAACGGGUCUGACGGUGAGGGACGAAGCCCUGGGGCGCAAACGGGGAUUAGAUACCCCUGUAGU